AUGUCGUGCAACGCCUUGGAGUUAGUGUGCUGGAAUGUUAGAGGCCUUAACAGUCCGGCCAAGAGAAAGGCGCUUAGAGGUUUCGUGGACUCCGUCCGUCCGGCGAUUGUUUGCAUCUUAGAAACUAAUUUAGAGGUAGUGGACAUUUAUGUAAUCUUGCAAUGCAUGGGACCAAACUAUGAUGGUUUUACCUACUUACCGGCGUCGGAGACUAGAGGUGGUAUUUUCGUGGCUUGGGACACCACGAGGGUACUUGUGACAAACUUUGUCAACGAUGCUCAUUGCAUCACCGGGUAUGUAUCGCCAAAGGAGGGAACGCCAUGGUGGUUAACCGUAGUUUAUGGGCCGUAG
rnacentral:rRNA from 1 species